rnacentral:lncRNA from 1 species
AUGAUGCUUUGGAUAAAUUAAAUGAAGAGCUUGUAAACAUCUUUUAUAUGUCUUAUUUUAGAAUCAAUUUUGCUUCAUUCAUGCUUUGCAAAUCUCAUAUUAUGUUCUGUCAACAUCCAAGGUCUAGUUAACUGAUGCACAGACUACAAGUGACUAAAAGCGAAUCAAAUCUAAUGGCACGUUUAAUUUCGAUUGUCAAAUGAUGUUACUUGUUCAAUAUAUUUUUUGUUUUCUUAAUGUCUGGUUAGUGUGCAGACACCAAAUCCCUGUUUAAUGGAAUAAUAAAGGUAUAUACAAGUGUCACAAACCAUGGCAACAUAGAACUUAAUACGUAAAAGAAUGAUCAAUUGUGCAGGUUGUUUACUUAUUGGGCAAGGCAAUUAACGGGAGACUUUAAAAAAAAAGGAAAAUCUUUCAUCCUUUUACACGGUUAAUAGUUUUUUUUGGCCAUGCAAUGUAGUUCCUAGUUAGAAAUCCUGGUAGGUUUUAGAGAAUAGAGUUUCUUUCUGCGAGUAAUUGGUAGAACCUUUUCUAAUUUUUUUUUUUCCCCAUGUGUAAAAUCAGGGUUAUGCACCUGCAUUCGAAGAAGGCACAAAGUCUAAUUGUGGCAGUCAUGGUGAUAUGCAACUGUCAAAUGACAAGAACAGUUUUGAAAGCAGCCAUGAUGAUGAUUUUGAGCGUGAAAGUAAUGGAUAUAGUGAAGAGGCUGAAGCCAGACAAGGCCAUGAUGAUGAUGAUACAUAUGUUGCAAAUGACGAAUAUAAUGGAUGCAACUACGAUGACGAAUACAAUUACAAUGAGGAAUGUGAUUUUGAUGAAUUAUGA